rnacentral:rRNA from 1 species
UGAUUGAGAUUUUAACACGAAGUGAGUGGCGAACGGGUGAGUAACACGUGGGUAACCUGCCCAGAAGCAGGGGAUAACACCUGGAAACAGAUGCUAAUACCGCAUAACAACUUGGACCGCAUGGUCCGAGUUUGAAAGAUGGCUUCGGCUAUCACUUUUGGAUGGUCCCGCGGCGUAUUAGCUAGUUGGUGAGGUAAAGGCUCACCAAGGCAGUGAUACGUAGCCGACCUGAGAGGGUAAUCGGCCACAUUGGGACUGAGACACGGCCCAAACUCC